rnacentral:rRNA from 1 species
UACGUAGGGUGCGAGCGUUGUCCGGAAUUACUGGGCGUAAAGAGCUCGUAGGUGGUUUGUCGCGUUGUUCGUGAAAACUCACAGCUUAACUGUGGGCGUGCGGGCGAUACGGGCAGACUGGAGUACUGCAGGGGAGACUGGAAUUCCUGGUGUAGCGGUGGAAUGCGCAGAUAUCAGGAGGGACACCGGUGGCGAAGGCGGGUCUCUGGGCAGUAACUGACACUGAGGAGCGAAAGCGUGGGGAGCGAACAGG